GUUAAGCGACUAAGCGUACACGGUGGAUGCCCUGGCAGUCAGAGGCGAUGAAGGACGUGCUAAUCUGCGAUAAGCGUCGGUAAGGUGAUAUGAACCGUUAUAACCGGCGAUUUCCGAAUGGGGAAACCCAGUGUGUUUCGACACACUAUCAUUAACUGAAUCCAUAGGUUAAUGAGGCGAACCGGGGGAACUGAAACAUCUAAGUACCCCGAGGAAAAGAAAUCAACCGAGAUUCCCCCAGUAGCGGCGAGCGAACGGGGAGCAGCCCAGAGCCUGAAUCAGUGUGUGUGUUAGUGGAAGCGUCUGGAAAGGCGCGCGAUACAGGGUGACAGCCCCGUACACAAAAAUGCACAUGCUGUGAGCUCGAUGAGUAGGGCGGGACACGUGGUAUCCUGUCUGAAUAUGGGGGGACCAUCCUCCAAGGCUAAAUACUCCUGACUGACCGAUAGUGAACCAGUACCGUGAGGGAAAGGCGAAAAGAACCCCGGCGAGGGGAGUGAAAAAGAACCUGAAACCGUGUACGUACAAGCAGUGGGAGCCUCUUUUAUGGGGUGACUGCGUACCUUUUGUAUAAUGGGUCAGCGACUUAUAUUCUGUAGCAAGGUUAACCGAAUAGGGGAGCCGAAGGGAAACCGAGUCUUAACUGGGCGUUAAGUUGCAGGGUAUAGACCCGAAACCCGGUGAUCUAGCCAUGGGCAGGUUGAAGGUUGGGUAACACUAACUGGAGGACCGAACCGACUAAUGUUGAAAAAUUAGCGGAUGACUUGUGGCUGGGGGUGAAAGGCCAAUCAAACCGGGAGAUAGCUGGUUCUCCCCGAAAGCUAUUUAGGUAGCGCCUCGUGAAUUCAUCUCCGGGGGUAGAGCACUGUUUCGGCAAGGGGGUCAUCCCGACUUACCAACCCGAUGCAAACUGCGAAUACCGGAGAAUGUUAUCACGGGAGACACACGGCGGGUGCUAACGUCCGUCGUGAAGAGGGAAACAACCCAGACCGCCAGCUAAGGUCCCAAAGUCAUGGUUAAGUGGGAAACGAUGUGGGAAGGCCCAGACAGCCAGGAUGUUGGCUUAGAAGCAGCCAUCAUUUAAAGAAAGCGUAAUAGCUCACUGGUCGAGUCGGCCUGCGCGGAAGAUGUAACGGGGCUAAACCAUGCACCGAAGCUGCGGCAGCGACGCUUAUGCGUUGUUGGGUAGGGGAGCGUUCUGUAAGCCUGUGAAGGUGUGCUGUGAGGCAUGCUGGAGGUAUCAGAAGUGCGAAUGCUGACAUAAGUAACGAUAAAGCGGGUGAAAAGCCCGCUCGCCGGAAGACCAAGGGUUCCUGUCCAACGUUAAUCGGGGCAGGGUGAGUCGACCCCUAAGGCGAGGCCGAAAGGCGUAGUCGAUGGGAAACAGGUUAAUAUUCCUGUACUUGGUGUUACUGCGAAGGGGGGACGGAGAAGGCUAUGUUGGCCGGGCGACGGUUGUCCCGGUUUAAGCGUGUAGGCUGGUUUUCCAGGCAAAUCCGGAAAAUCAAGGCUGAGGCGUGAUGACGAGGCACUACGGUGCUGAAGCAACAAAUGCCCUGCUUCCAGGAAAAGCCUCUAAGCAUCAGGUAACAUCAAAUCGUACCCCAAACCGACACAGGUGGUCAGGUAGAGAAUACCAAGGCGCUUGAGAGAACUCGGGUGAAGGAACUAGGCAAAAUGGUGCCGUAACUUCGGGAGAAGGCACGCUGAUAUGUAGGUGAAGCGACUUGCUCGUGGAGCUGAAAUCAGUCGAAGAUACCAGCUGGCUGCAACUGUUUAUUAAAAACACAGCACUGUGCAAACACGAAAGUGGACGUAUACGGUGUGACGCCUGCCCGGUGCCGGAAGGUUAAUUGAUGGGGUCAGCGCAAGCGAAGCUCUUGAUCGAAGCCCCGGUAAACGGCGGCCGUAACUAUAACGGUCCUAAGGUAGCGAAAUUCCUUGUCGGGUAAGUUCCGACCUGCACGAAUGGCGUAAUGAUGGCCAGGCUGUCUCCACCCGAGACUCAGUGAAAUUGAACUCGCUGUGAAGAUGCAGUGUACCCGCGGCAAGACGGAAAGACCCCGUGAACCUUUACUAUAGCUUGACACUGAACAUUGAGCCUUGAUGUGUAGGAUAGGUGGGAGGCUUUGAAGUGUGGACGCCAGUCUGCAUGGAGCCGACCUUGAAAUACCACCCUUUAAUGUUUGAUGUUCUAACGUUGACCCGUAAUCCGGGUUGCGGACAGUGUCUGGUGGGUAGUUUGACUGGGGCGGUCUCCUCCUAAAGAGUAACGGAGGAGCACGAAGGUUGGCUAAUCCUGGUCGGACAUCAGGAGGUUAGUGCAAUGGCAUAAGCCAGCUUGACUGCGAGCGUGACGGCGCGAGCAGGUGCGAAAGCAGGUCAUAGUGAUCCGGUGGUUCUGAAUGGAAGGGCCAUCGCUCAACGGAUAAAAGGUACUCCGGGGAUAACAGGCUGAUACCGCCCAAGAGUUCAUAUCGACGGCGGUGUUUGGCACCUCGAUGUCGGCUCAUCACAUCCUGGGGCUGAAGUAGGUCCCAAGGGUAUGGCUGUUCGCCAUUUAAAGUGGUACGCGAGCUGGGUUUAGAACGUCGUGAGACAGUUCGGUCCCUAUCUGCCGUGGGCGCUGGAGAACUGAGGGGGGCUGCUCCUAGUACGAGAGGACCGGAGUGGACGCAUCACUGGUGUUCGGGUUGUCAUGCCAAUGGCACUGCCCGGUAGCUAAAUGCGGAAGAGAUAAGUGCUGAAAGCAUCUAAGCACGAAACUUGCC
rnacentral:rRNA from 1 species